rnacentral:other from 1 species
GAAGUCCUGAUGUGUUCGUCUAUACACCUUUUCGUUUUGACCGACAUCUCAUACCUACGGGAGUUUGGAGUUUCCAGACUGAAUGCAAGCCUCUACGAGAGGACACAUAAGGCCUGGAGCAGGACACCCACCUGCCAAGAGCGGGUUCAAAACAAAGGAUCUUUAACCGACGGCACGAUUGGGACUUUU